rnacentral:rRNA from 1 species
UACGGUAGGGUGCGAGCGUUAAUCGGAAUUACUGGGCGUAAAGCGUGCGCAGGCGGUUCGUUGUGAUCCCGUCGUGAAAGCCCCGGGCUUAACCUGGGAACUGCGAUGGAAACUAGCGAGCUGGAGUGUGGCAGGAGGGGGUGGAAUUCCGGGUGUAGCGGUGGAAUGCGUAGAGAUCCGGAAGAACACCAGUGGCGAAGGCGGCCUGCUGGGCAGUUGCUGACGCUGAGGCGCGAACAGCGUGGGGAGCAAACGAGG